UUAGAUGCGAGAGUAGAGCAUAUCAAUAAGCGGAGGAAAAGAAACUAACAAGGAUUCCCUUAGUAACGGCGAGUGAAGCGGGAAGAGCUCGAAAUUUGAAAUCUUCAAGGUUCUACCUUGACGAAUUGUAGUUUAUAGAAGUGUUUUCUGUUUGAAGUUGGCUAAAAGUUCUUUGGAAUAGGACAUCAUAGAGGGUGAGAAUCCCGUAUUUGGUCAUUCUCUCCUAGCUUUGUGAUACACUUUCAACGAGUCGGAUUGUUUGGGAAUGCAGUCCAAAAUGGGUGGUAAAUUUCAUCUAAAGCUAAAUAUUGGCGAGAGACCGAUAGCGAACAAGUACCGUGAGGGAAAGAUGAAAAGAACUUUGAAAAGAGAGUUAAACAGUACGUGAAAUUGUCAAAAGGGAAGCGUUUGACACCAGUGUUGUCUUUCUCGAAAAUCAAUUACAAAAUGUUUGGAUUUUUGUAGUAGUUAUGACCUUCAUCAGCUUUCUCACUUCUUUACUGAUCUUUCUUAAUGCACUUUUCGUUUACAAGUCAACAUCAGUUUCUUUUGUUGUAAAAGGGUCAUGAGGAAGGUGGCUUUCUUUUCGGAGAAAGUGUUUAUAGCCUUGUGCCUCUGCAAUCGGAGAGAUUGAGGUCUGCAGCGUAGAUCCUUCGGGGUUAGAUACGUUUGUGCUAAGUUAUAGCUUUUCAUAGACAACUUGUUGACUAUGUUUAGUCUUGUAGCUUACUCGCUUACGCUAUUUUACCUACGCUUAGGAUGUUGACACACGCGCGUGCUCG
rnacentral:rRNA from 1 species